GACGGGGGGGGCAAGUGUUCUUCGGAAUGACUGGGCGUAAAGCGCACGUAGGCGGCUUUUUAAGUCAGGGGUGAAAUCCUGGAGCUCAACUCCAGAACUGCCUUUGAUACUGAGAAGCUUGAGUCCGGGAGAGGUGAGUGGAACUGCGAGUGUAGAGGUGAAAUUCGUAGAUAUUCGCAAGAACACCAGUGGCGAAGGCGGCUCACUGGCCCGGAACUGACGCUGAUGCGCGAAAGCGUGGGGAGCAAACGGG
rnacentral:rRNA from 1 species